CCUCGCUUCUCUCUUUCUCUCCUUUUUCCCUUCUCGUGUAAAACCUUAGGUAGUUGCCAUGUAUUUCUGGCCUCUCUCAUGCCAAAAAUGGCAUUUUUAUAGGAGUGUGCUGAUAUGCAUAGCAUAUGUAUGCCAUUUGUGAUGAAAUAUCGCAUAUACGCUUGGUUCCACAAAUGCUUUUGUCCAAAUGUGGUUGCUGAGAUUUGGAAGCACAGAGGCUCCCAAAUCCAUUCUUUUCUUUGCUGCGCACUUAAAAGACUGAAGUCCAGCCACCCUAUUAGGCUAAAAGCCCAAAUAGGGAAAAUUAUUUCAAAUGUCUUCGAGUCCAAAAAGGAAGAAAGGGAAGCUAAUAUAUUGAAGGCCCAAUCAUGGGUAAAAAUAAUAUGAAGGCCCAACCAUGGGUGAAAAUGGUUGGGGUUUGGUAUACCUCAUUUCAUUUUACUGCAUCAUAUUUUUGUUAUGUUUUGGCUUAUAUGUAUUGUGUUUAUUACUUGUAAAACCCACAAAUAUUAUUGGAACCUUUAUUAUGAAUUAGGUAUCUUAGGUAAACGGUGCAUGUGUCGUUUAGACUGACUUUUGCACCCUAAACUCUUUCUCAAAACUUUGAAAAUGCAUACUGAUUUUUGGAGGUAAAAAAUGGAAAAACAAACUACUUUUUCUUAAUAAACGAGGAAC